rnacentral:lncRNA from 1 species
CUCACUUGUCUCUCCUUGCUCGCCGAGCUCCACAGGUAAGUGUCCCAUCUCUCCUCGCUUCUCUCUCCCUCACUCUUUACUUCUCCUAGGUAACGAGGAGGCCUGCCAUGCCCAAAUGGCUAGAUUCGAUGAGAAGGAGGCCAGCUGCGUCUAGCCACACCUAGAUCCAGCGACGGUGGCGUGCGGCUCGAUGGACGAGAGCUAGAUCUGGCUAGCGGGCUAGGAACAAGCUCGCUAACGAGCUUGGGAAUGGGCUUUCCAGUGGGCUCAUGAUUUUGUUUUUUAUUUUUUUACCUGUUAAUUGAGACGAGUGUUCUAAGGCUUGUCUUGGUUAGUCAAUAAACCGAGACGAGCGAAGCAGCCGCCUCCAUAGGUCCAAAUUAAUUGUGACCUUUAAACGGAGACAGUUGCAUUACCUGUCACCGUUAAUAAAAAAACGGCUUGGUUAAAAUUAAUGUAUUAUUAGUGACAUUGAGCACGUCCGCACUGAGGAGCAGAUCGUUGAUAUUCUGACAAAGCCGCUUUCGUGUGAACUAUGUGUAAAGCUAGGCGUCGUCAAGAUCGUCAAGAAACUUCAGGCUUAGGGGGUGAAAUAAUGUAAGCAAGUCAUGUAAUCCUGAGUUCGCUUAUUUCCU